rnacentral:rRNA from 1 species
AACGAACGCUGGCGGCAUGCCUAACACAUGCAAGUCGAACGAGACCUCCGGGUCUAGUGGCGCACGGGUGCGUAACGCGUGGGAACCUGCCCUUAGGUUCGGAAUACCUCCCUGUAAGGGGUGCUAAUACCGGAGAAUGUAUUCGGACCAAGGAUCUAUCGCCUUUGGAUGGGCCCGCGUUGGUUUAGCCGGUUGGUAGGGUAAAAGCCUAUCAAGGCGACGAUCCUUGGCUGGUCUGAGAGGAUGACCAGCUACACUGGGAAUGAGACACGGCCCAGACUCCUACGGGAGGGAGCAGUGGGGAAUAUUGGACAAUGGGCGAAAGCCUGAUCCAGCAAUGCGGCGUGAGUGAUGAAGGCCUUAGGGUUGUAAAGCUCUUUUACCCGGGAUGAUAAUGACAGUACCGGGAGAAUAAGCACCGGCUAACUACGUG